rnacentral:rRNA from 1 species
UACGUAGGCAGCGAGCGUUGUUCGGAAUUACUGGGCGUAAAGAGUGUGUAGGCGGUGCUCCCAGUCUGUUGUGAAAUCUCCCGGCUUAACUGGGGGGGUGCAGCGGAAACUAGAGUGCUAGAGGGUGGGAGAGGUAAGCGGAAUUCCUGGUGUAGCGGUGAAAUGCGUAGAUAUCAGGAGGAACACCUGUGGUGUAGACAGCUUACUGGACCACUUCUGACGCUGAGACACGAAAGCGUGGGUAGCAAACAGG